rnacentral:misc_RNA from 1 species
AAUCCGAACAGGGAAAAUAUUCUCGGAAAUAUCCAUUCAGUCCCCAGGUCUCGGCUGGGGAACAUCAAAAUUUUGAGGUGAUUUUUUUUAGUAAGCUAAAGUUAUAUCAAGCAAACAAAAUAAAACAAAAAAACUUUCCGCACUCUUACUGGAUAUAGCCGUAAAUCCAUAUCCACAUCCACAGGUUUGUUGUUUUUUGAUUUUGGUAUAACGCAGAAUAAAGAAGACACAGAAAAGGAAAGGUAGCUGCUGCUGGAGCUUUGCUGGUUACACACAAUUGUUAAACAUUCAUUUCAAAUCCCUCUGGAACUGGAACUGGAAUCGGGUUAUUGCAUCCUGGCUAAUAGCACUCAAUAAAUACACUAAAUAGAAGCAGCCAUUAUCUGGAAAAAAAGGCUCUGCUCUUGAUGGUACUGACAUUCGUCGCUUUGGAGGUGGGCUCGAAUGUUCGUAGUCGGGUUAUUGCAUCCUGGCUAAUAGCACUCAAUAAAUACACUAAAUAGAAGCAGCCAUUAUCUGGAAAAAAAGGCUCUGCUCUUGAUGGUACUGACAUUCGUCGCUUUGGAGGUGGGCUCGAAUGUUCGUAAUCGGGUUAUUGCAUCCUGGCUAAUAGCACUCAAUAAAUACACUAAAUAGAAGCAGCCAUUAUCUGGAAAAAAAGGCUCUGCUCUUGAUGGUACUGACAUUCGCCGCUUUGGAGGUGGGCUCGAAUGUUCGUGGAUCGCAUCAAUACGAUUAUUAAUGGAAUUUAAAGGCUUUUAUGGUUAAUAGUUAAAA